CCGGGAGGGGCCGCCCCGCGCCGGGCCCGGGGCUCGCAGCCCCCCGGGAGGGCUCCUCCGCCCCCUCGGACAGCCCGUCCCGGCGGGGUCUGGGCCGUGCGGAGAGCAGGGGCGCCCGGCUGGGGAGCGCUGCCCACCCGGCACACCGGGCGCGGAGUUGGGCUUGACCCGCCGGUCUGCACCGGCGCCCCGGUGAGACACGCUCCAGGGUCCGGUGUUUUGGUGCCUCCGGUAAUGCGAAAGAAGCAUCGGCUCGCAGUGAUUUUGAAAAGCUUGAAUGCCGUUUCCUGCUGGAGUUGGAAUCGUGAAGCUUUGUAGCUACACAGUUAAUCAUUCUCUUUAAGGGAAUCUACGGAGUAGUGAAGCUAUUUUAAUGUCAGGCCUGAGAAGCCCAGUGGAUGGAAAUUUAUCUAUGAAGAAAGAGACCCCCAGCCGAGUGCAGGCACAGCCUGGUGACACAGCCUGGUGACACAGCCUGGUGACACAGCCUGGUGACACAGGUGCAGUGCACAAACACAUGCUCACACGAGUGCCCAGUGCAGUCUGGCUGGUCCCACACAGUCUGCACAGCACUGCUGAAUUUACUCCUCUGACUGCACUGAAGACAGCAGUUCUUUUGGCAGAGCACCUUGUCAUCCUCCUGCCCACUCUGGCACAGAUGCCAAUUAUAUGAGAGGAAUCCAACACCUGAUUUGCAUUUUCCACAUAUAUCAGAAAUGCAUAAAAAGGCACCAUGUCCUUUUCACUUUUGACAUAUAUACAACAAGACUCAAAAUGCUGCAAUUCCCACUGCUUAAAAAAAACAACUUCAGUCAGAAGCUACACUGUGAUUAAAAUACCAAAUGGAGACCAAAGAGUGUAACUUCUCCCUGUGCUCUACACAUUUUAAAACUGUUCACAACAGAAUUAUUUUCUGGACUUACCAUCUUACAUAAGCCCUGUUAGGUAGCACGACAUUCUGAAUGUGUUCAAAUAAAGGAAAACUGAACAUCUGA